AGAGUUUGAUCAUGGCUCAGGAUGAACGCUAGCGGCAGGCUUAACACAUGCAAGUCGAGGGGGCAGGCGGGGGUGUAGCAAUACACUGCCGGCGACCGGCGCACGGGUGCGUAACGCGUAUGCAACCUACCCAUAACAGGGGCAUAACACUGAGAAAUUGGUACUAAUUCCCCAUAACAUUCGAAGAGGCAUCUCUUUGGGUUGAAAACUCCGGUGGUUAUGGAUGGGCAUGCGUUGUAUUAGCUAGUUGGG
rnacentral:rRNA from 1 species